rnacentral:rRNA from 1 species
UACAGAGGGUGCGAGCGUUGUUCGGAAUACUGGGCGUAAAGCGCGCGUAGGUGGUGUGUUAAGUCUGCCGGUCAAAUGCCGAGGCUCAACCUCGUUGCACGCCGGGGAUACUGGCACGCUAGAGACAAGUAGAGGCAAGCGGAAUCCGGUGGUAGCGGUGGAAUGCGUAGAGAUCCGGAAGAACACCAGUGGCGAAGGCGGCCCGCUGGGCAGUGGCUGACGCUGAGGCGCGACAGCGUGGGGAGCAAACAGG